CCUUUGUACACACCGCCCGUCGCUACUACCGAUUGAAUGGCUUAGUGAGGCUUUCGGACUGGCCCAGGGAGAGUGGCAACACUCACCCAGGGCCGGAAAGUUCGUCAAACUCGGUCAUUUAGAGG
rnacentral:rRNA from 1 species